AUGUGGAUAGCUCAGUUGGUUAGUGUGUGGUGUUGAUAACGCCAUGGUUGCAGGUUUGAUCCCCAUAAGGGACAGCUGCAUA
rnacentral:tRNA from 1 species